AUACAAUGGUGAAGUGAGGCGCUU
rnacentral:siRNA from 1 species